rnacentral:rRNA from 1 species
AUUGAACGCUGGCGGCAGGCCUAACACAUGCAAGUCGAGCGAGUGGCGGACGGGUGAGUAAUGUCUGGGAAACUGCCCGAUGGAGGGGGAUAACUACUGGAAACGGUAGCUAAUACCGCAUACCAUCGGAUGUGCCCAAAUGGGAUUAGGUUGUGGGUGGGGUAACGGCCCACCUAGGCGACGAUCCCUAGCUGGUCUGAGAGGAUGACCAGCCACACUGGAACUGAGACACGGUCCAGACUCCUACGGGAGGCAGCAGUGGGGAAUAUUGCGCAAUGGGCGCAACCCUGAUACAGCCAUGCCGCGUGUAUGAAGAAGGCCUUCGGGUUGUAAAGUACUUUCAGUGGUGAGGCGUUACACGCAGAAGAAGCACCGGCUAACUCCGUGCCAGCCGCCGCGGUAAUAC